rnacentral:rRNA from 1 species
AGAGCGAACGCUGGCGGCAUGCUUAACACAUGCAAGUCUCACGGGCAGCAAUGUCAGUGGCGGACGGGUGAGUAACGCGUAGGUAUCUAUCCAUGGGUGGGGGAUAACGUCGGGAAACUGACGCUAAUACCGCAUGACAUCUGAGGAUCAAAGGCGCGAGUCGCCUGUGGAGGAGCCUGCGUACGAUUAGCUAGUUGGUGGGGUAAAGGCCUACCAAGGCUACGAUCGUUAGCUGGUCUGAGAGGAUGAUCAGCCACACUGGGACUGAGACACGGCCCAGACUCCUACGGGAGGCAGCAGUGGGGGAAUAUUGGACAAUGGGCGAAAGCCUGAUCCAGCAAUGCCGCGUGUGUGAAGAAGGUCUUCGGAUUGUAAAGCACUUUCGGCGGGGACGAUGAUGACGGUACCCGCAGAAGAAGCCCCGGCUAACUUCGUGCCAGCAGCCGCGGUAA